rnacentral:sRNA from 1 species
AGUGCCGAAGAAAGAGGGCACUAGUGUACAGCCCAGAUCGCAUCCUUGCACCGUCUGGAUUAGAGCUGAGGCGUCUGCAAGCCGAGCGUGGCCACGGUCCUCUGGCCCCGGGACCAUAGCGCUGUCUACCCCGACUCAGGUACUCAGCAGCAUCUAGCUCACCGCUGCCUACACGACUUCCACUGUACUCUUGAUCAAUUUACCUUGAUGCACUACCGGUGAAGAACGGGGAUUCGAAUUCCCUUACAAACGCCUCCAGCUUGUAGAGGCGGUCGUGGAGGACCCAGAGGAGGAGACGAAGGGGAAGGAGGCGGUGGUGGAGGAGGCAAAGGCCUUGGACGACCAUUGUUGGCGAGGGGCACCACUCCGGGAGAGGCGGCGCUGGGCGUCUUGGGGGUGCGCGCCGGGAGCCUGCAGCGGGACCAGCGUGGGAACGCGGCUGGCAGGCUGUGGACCUCGUCCUCACCACCAUGGUCGGGCUCCUCUUGUUUUUUUUCCCAGCGAUCUUUUUGGAGGUGUCCCUUCUCCCCAGAAGCCCCGGCAGGAAAGUGUUGCUGGCAGGAGCGUCGUCUCAGCGCUCGGUGGCCAGAAUGGACGGAGAUGUCAUCAUUGGAGCCCUCUUCUCAGUCCAUCACCAGCCUCCGGCCGAGAAAGUGCCCGAGAGGAAGUGUGGGGAGAUCAGGGAGCAGUAUGGCAUCCAGAGGGUGGAGGCCAUGUUCCACACGUUGGAUAAGAUCAACGCGGACCCGGUCCUCCUGCCCAACAUCACCCUGGGCAGUGAGAUCCGGGACUCCUGCUGGCACUCUUCCGUGGCUCUGGAACAGAGCAUUGAGUUCAUUAGGGACUCUCUGAUUUCCAUUCGAGAUGAGAAGGAUGGGAUCAACCGGUGCCUGCCUGACGGCCAGUCCCUCCCCCCAGGCAGAACUAAGAAGCCCAUUGCGGGAGUGAUCGGUCCCGGCUCCAGCUCUGUAGCCAUUCAAGUGCAGAACCUGCUCCAGCUCUUCGACAUCCCCCAGAUCGCUUAUUCAGCUACAAGCAUCGACCUGAGUGACAAAACUUUGUACAAAUACUUCCUGAGGGUUGUCCCUUCUGACACUUUGCAGGCAAGGGCCAUGCUUGACAUAGUCAAACGUUACAAUUGGACCUAUGUCUCUGCAGUCCACACGGAAGGGAAUUAUGGGGAGAGCGGAAUGGACGCUUUCAAAGAGCUGGCUGCCCAGGAAGGCCUCUGCAUCGCCCAUUCUGACAAAAUCUACAGCAACGCUGGGGAGAAGAGCUUUGACCGACUCUUGCGCAAACUCCGAGAGAGGCUUCCCAAGGCUAGAGUGGUGGUCUGCUUCUGUGAAGGCAUGACAGUGCGAGGACUCCUGAGCGCCAUGCGGCGCCUUGGCGUCGUGGGCGAGUUCUCACUCAUUGGAAGGUAAGUUUCUCUCUCUCUCUCUCUCUCUCACACACACAUGCACACACACACUUUGAAACACAUAUGCUUGCUUUCAC